UGACAAACCCUUUUUCUUUCAAGGAUAGAUCUAGGAAUUUUGAUUUAUCACCCGUCAUAUGUCUCGAGCAUCCACUAUCAAGAUACGAAUGAUGUCCCUGUGCUCGUAGACAUACCUACAAAAGUAGAUCACUUGCCUUUUUCAGGUACCCAAGUUAUAUUGGGUCCUUUUCUGUUAGUAACCAGGGAGUCAUCCCCCUUUUUCAUCCAGACAUACACGCCACUAGGUAUACCAUAUUUUCUUAUGUAAAAAGAGUAGGAAGUGUAGCCAUGUGUGCCACAAUAAAAACAUGUAGGAACCUUCUUAUUAAAAUAUUUCUUAUUAGGCCGAUUAAUAGGGGG
rnacentral:lncRNA from 1 species